AUCUCUCGAACGCUCCAUCGGCCAUCAACUAGAAACAUCAUGUCUUCCUCUGGCUCUCCCUCCAUCUUCUUCUUCUCCGGCCUUCAUCGUGGUUCCAUCUUCCUCCAUGUUCUCCUUCGGCCUUCAAUCCUUUUAUAGACUACGAGCCCGGUGUCCGUUUACAGACGUCUUCAUGUCUAGCCCUUCAUCCAUUUCUCAUUCAUACAGAAGACCUGCCUGGACUUCCAAGUUCUCUACUUCCAACAAUAUUUGCAUAGUAAGUUGCAUUUUCCCCACCCUCUCUUCCCCAUCUUCAUCGAUUGUAAACAUGUGCAUCAAGUAUAGGUAUCUUUGCUUUCAACAUCAAAUUGAUAUUCCUUAAAACAAAAUUGAAUUGUUGAUGUCAUGCA